rnacentral:lncRNA from 1 species
AUACAUUCCCUAAUUUUGGUACAUCAUUGUGAACCAACCAGUCUACAAACGAUGUUAUUAAAUAAUACACGUUGAUGCCAAUGAUUCCAAUGCCUAAAAUCCAUGAAAUCACAAUUACCUACGAUGCGAUAAAAGAUAUAAUUAUUAGCUAAGAACAUAAAUAGGCAAAAAAUAAAAGAAAGAAAUUGAGAAAAAUAGCCGUAAAAGUACAAUAGAGACUUCUAUAUUAGGAGUCAGAUUGUAUUUUGCCUCAUCAAAGAGCUGGCCCCUUUUUGUUAAAAAUUUAAUCCAUUUUUACUAUUAAAAAUUGGCAUGGUUAACGAAAUAACCUGACAAUGACACGUGGCUGGUCAUGUGUAACUCAUAUUGACGUAUAGGGACCAGUUUUUAACAGUAGAAAUGGAUGGAAAUUUUAACAAAAUGAAAUUUUGCUCUAUGAUCUAAUAUAUAGAGACUAAUUCAUUGAUUUUUUAGUAGAUAAGGAAAAAUACAAUCUGACUCUUAAUAUAGAGACCUCUAUUGUACUUUUACCGAAAAAUUAACUCACAAUCACGGAGUUCUUGUAGGGUCCCAUCUUGGUUGAGCUGCUACUAAAUUUAAGGAGUGGGAUUAGAGCAAAUAGUAGCUCAAAUGAAAGAAUCAUCUGCAAAAUCCAUUAUUAAAUUUACAAGUAGUUUUAGCUUAAAAUAUAUAUAUUGAUAAAAUAAUUCAUUGAUGAACUCAAAAAUUAAAAGUGUUCAUGCGUUGGGCCUAAGCAAGGCAUUUAGACUAUUUUUUUGAGUUCUGCCCGAAAAAUGGAUUUUUUUUUUGCCUAAGUCCAACCUGAUUUAAGAAAAGUAAACUUGGUCCCGAUCAGCAAGUCCAUAUUUGAUUUUUUAGAUUAAUUUUAUUUAAAAUUAAAAUAUUUGAAAAUUAUAAUAUACCAAAUGUGUAACACCCCUUACCCGUAUUCGACGCUGGACUAGGGUACGAGGCAUUACUGAAACAUACACUUGUAAACAUAUUAAAUCGAGUAAUAAAAUUUCAUUAAUUAUUAAAAACUUUCAAAUUAUUAACAUGCUUUUAUAGUUCUUCACAAUAUAAAUAAUGCAACAUUUCCUACCAACACAAUCGAGAUUCCGAUAAUCAUUUCAAUACAUCUAAUAAUUGUCAUAUUACCAAUAAUAAUUCAAUUACAAUAAUAAAUCACAUAUCUAUAUAAUAUUCAUUACCAAAUAGCAUUCUCUCCAAUUAAAAUUAUACAAAAUAUAGUUCAUACGAACUUACCAGGCUAAAUUGUAGAAAUACCAAAAUUUAGGGACAUUUCGGUAAUUUUCUAUUUUCUCGAAUUUCCACCCAAUCUUGAUCUAAAUUAAUAUUUCAUUCAAUUUACUAAUUUAAAUAAUAAAAUAAUUCAUGAACAAUUUGGUCACUUUGACAUUUUUACAAAUUUACCCUUAAAGUUUCACAUUUGUUCAAUUUAGUCCUUGAGCCCAAAUCAUGCAAAUUAACCAUUUGAAAUGCAAAUCCAUGCUAACAUAAUAUUCAUACAUUUAUUUUCCUCCUCCUCCUCUCCAUUCCACAUCCUUAAUUUACAUAACAUGCUAUAAAUAACAUUAUCUAUAAUUUCACUAUUUUCUUGUAAAUUUAUUCAAAGCUGUCCAUUUGAGUCAUAGUCACUAAAUCAUUUAUAUCUUGAGCUACAGAAAUCCAAAUUAAGAUCCGUUAAUUUUCCCUGAAACUAGACUCACAUAUCUUCUUGCCAUAAAAUUUCAUAAUUUUUGGUUUAGUGAAUAAAUACAGUUUAUUCUUUAAAGUCAUCCCUGUUCUGCUGUCUGACAGUUCCGACCCUUCUUCACUAACAAUUAAUUAUCUCCUUGUACAGAAUUUGAAUGAUGUUAACGUUUGUUUCUAUUGAAAAUAGACUCAUUAAGGAUUUAAAAAUAUAAAUUUAAGCCUCUAAUUAUUUUUCUCCAAUUUUUGAUGAUUUUCCAAAUUCAGUACAGGGGAACCCGAAAUCAUUCUAACCUUAACUCACAAAACCUAUUAUAUCUCAUGAUUUACAAUUCUAUUGCUUACACCAUUUCUUCUAUGAGAAACUAGACUCAAUAAGAUUUAAUUUCAUAUUUUAUUCAUCUUCUAAUUCAAUUCCCACAAUUUUUGGUGAUUUUUCAAAGUUGACCUUCUGCUGCUGUCCAAACUAUUUUAGUGUAAAAUAUUGAUUACUAAGUUUAUAACACUCUUAUUUUCUUUCUCUACACUAUUUCUCAUCACUUUCGCUUAUUUUCUCUUCACUAACAUACCAAGAACAUAAAACCUUAUAUAAUAAAACUCUACAUUAACAUCAAUUUCAUACCUUUUCAAUAAUAUCAAACUCAAAAAUAUUUUGAAAUCUUGAUGUUCUUACCUUGCUCAAUUGAUUUCAAUCUUUAACUUGAUUUUCUCUCUCCUCCAGCUUCUAUUUCUUGAAUCUAACUUGAUAUUCUAGCUCCCCAUAGUCUCCUUGUUAUCUUUCUCUUUUGAUGGCUAUAGAAAUUCUUUUGAUUUCUAGGUGGAAAUGGUAGAUUUUUGGUGGAAGGACCAAAUUGUAAAGAAAAGAAAGUUUCUUUCUUUUUCUUCUCUUCAUACGUUGGAAUGCAUGGGGAAGAUGAUGAUUCUUCAUAUUUCCUUCCAUAUAUAUAUAUACUAAAUAGAAUAAUACUAAAAUAAUAAAAUAUCAUUUAAAAAUUAAAUUAAAAUACUAAUAAACUAAUAUUUAUUUAAUUAAUAUAAAAUAUCUCCAACAUCAUCAUUAUCUUCUAGAUUUCUCUCUCUUAUAAUUGACCAUUUUGCCCUUUACGAUCUUUUAAAAUUCCAUCCUUGAGUCAUCACUUAAUUUGGUAAAAUUGCAAUUUAGUCCCUCAAAAUUCUUCACCUUUUUCAAUUUGGUCCUAAUCCAUCCAUUUUCCUUAGUUUCUAGAUCAUUCCACCCUUAAAAUAUUUACACCAUUGGUCCUUCAACUUUUUCAUAUUUAUACUUUAGCCCCUUAAUUUUUGAGUAUUUACUCUUAGGCCACAAAACUUUUCUCACUUUUGCAAUUUAAUCCUUUCUUGAAUUAAUAUGUCAUAAUAUACUUUCCAAUAUUGACAUAACUCAUUACUCUUUUUAUCACUUUAUUUCCUUAAUUUACCAUAUCAGGGAUAUUAUCUUACUUUCUUACUAUAGAAAUUUUCGGGAUAUUACAAUUUCAUAGCUAGUUAACCCUUCUAGCUUCUAGAAUUCAAAUUCUACAUUUUAUACAAAUAGGUCAUUUCCUUAAUUAAUCACUAAUUCAAUAAAAUUUUCAUAUCAAUAUUUUCAUGCAACCUUCUUAUUAUAAUGCAACCCAUGUCAUAAUUUUAAAAUAAAAUUUCCUCGUCGAAUUUGUGGUCCCGAACCACUGUUCCACCUAGACCCAAAAUCGGGCUGUUACAAAAUGCACUAAAAAAAUGCUAAAAUAAAAACUUUCUAACACAUUAAAAAGUAUUUAUAUUAAAAAAUAUUAUCAUAAAUAUAAUGAAUGUUUUAUUAUAUUAAAAACACAAAUAAAUUUUAUAUUUUGUGUUGAAUUAUUUAGGUAAGUUUCUUUUAGGUCAUGGGAAAUAGGUUUAAUUGUUAUCGGAUUAAUUAUUUAAUAUAAAUAUAUAAUUAUUAUUUAUCAUAUAUAAUUAAUAUAAUAUUAUUUUAUAACAUAAUAUUUGGACCGGGCCAAGCUCGGGCCAAAAAAUCUUGUCCAAGGCUCGACCUAUAUAGAAAAUGGGCCUUAAAUUUUAACCAAUUCCAUUUUUUGGGCUUCGUAUUUUGUCCAAACCCUCCUAUUUUUAAGGCAAGCCUUCGGACCUAAGCAGGUGACCCAGCCCAUUAGCAGGUUUACCAUGAAUUUAACAAGUUUGGAUUCGAAUUCGUUAUUUAUAAUCCCUUUGUUAUUCUGGGGUUAGCGAUAUGCUUUGUAAAAAAAAAUCGAUCUUAGAUAUAUUCUAACCGAUGCAAUGAUGAUUAGUCGACCGGCCCUUGAGAUCCACCAAUGAUGGACACAAUGAGACUAGGUGUAAUGGCAAUGCACCUAGUCAUUAUAUUCC